rnacentral:piRNA from 1 species
AAGACACUGCGGUGGAAGGUGAGGAGA